CCUUGAGACUUGCACGGAAUGUGGGGUUUUGCCUCCUUUAGGGAAACUGGCGUCCCUUGAAUCAUUGCAUAUUGUGCAACUCCAUGGAGUCUCAAAGGUAGGAGUUGAGUUUUUGGGAAUAGAUGAUGGGCAAACCUCCUCCUCCUCGUCUUCCAUUUUCAUAUCAUUCCCCAAGCUUAAACAACUCGGCUUCUACAACAUGGGGGCAUGGGAAGAGUGGGUAGGAGUGGAAAAUAAUAAUAUUACAAUCAUGCCAUGCCUCUCUCAAUUGACAAUUGGGUACUGCUACAAGCUAAAAGCACUGCCGGACUUCCUGUGGGAGACACCACUACAGAAAUUGCACAUCUUUAGAUCUCCAAUUCUCCAAGACCUUUACAGACAAGGAAUAAGUGAGAAGUGGGCCAAGAUCCCAACCAUCGUGAUAGAAGACUAAUCUGGAUGACGCAUCUCAAAGGCUUCAGCUUCUCUUGAAACAAGCACAGUUCUCUAUCAUUCGUCAUAUUUCAACCUGGGAUGCAUGUCCAAUGGAAGUCAAUAUUGGAGCUAGGGGACAAGGGAACAUCAAUUGAGCAUCAGGCAUUGUCUUCCCCCCUACCCUUCAGAUACAUCAGUGAUUAGUUGAGCAUGAGCUAGCAGAGUUAUAGCAUAGACCAAACCUAGGAGGGUACGAAAGAGGUCAAACACUUGAGGUGGUCAUACAUGUGCUUCCUCAGAUCGAUGCUCAACUUUCUAUCAAUUUUAGCCGUAUUCACCUUGAUUUUUUCAGGAUACAGAUGAUCAUUCAUGCCCACGUGAAUAGCUAAAGGGAUUCUUGGACUUCCAAUUCCAAUACUAGAUGAUCUUCACCACUAAGAUGUGAACCGCACCAGGCUGCUUGUACUGCUCGUAUUGAAGCUGCAUGCAUAAGCAUUCAUCAUGGCAUCUGAAUUUGGGAAACUGCAUAAGUACCAACUUGUAGAUUAUAUUAUAACUUGAAGUUCUUGGUUUUCAAGUUGGACUAUUAGCAAGUCUCGUAAAACCUUUUGAUUAAUUACAUGGACCGAGGACGGUCUAGUCAAGAAUAUCGAUCUCUUCCAUUGUCUGGACUUUAUUAGACUUACUAGGAAGCUAUGCAAGGUUAUGACAAUGAGCUGUCAUUGGAGAAGUUAAACUUGGGAUUGUUCCUUUGGUCUAAGUAGGUUAUGCUAGCUUGUGUAUCCUUCUGCUCGUCUAAGUUAUAUCGUCAUUGUUUAUAUAGGUGAUCAUGACUGUCAGGAGCUUAAGAGGUUACAAACAGCACCAGUUAGAGACAUGUUCUUAAAGCAUUGAAAGAAGGCAUGAGGUUACUGAAGGCUGCCAGUUUGAAGACCUUCCUGUUUGGUUAUGAUACUCUUCUUCCUCUAAUGCUGGAACUUGGGUCCCUAUCAAGUACAUUUCAGAAAGAUUGCAAGCACCCUUCUGUGUAUGGAAUUGGGAGGUUCGGCUUCAAAGUUCUGUUGGUUAGACUCCUGAAGAUGAGAUAACCCUCAGAAGAAAAUCGCACCAACGUACAUGUACAGCUCACACUGAGGCUUCAUUUAGAAUGGCCUUGGAGUUGCAAAGCUGAUGGGAUGCUAAUAUGAUAAGCUGUCUAUGUCAUAACCUAAAGUUCUCAGUUCAUGUGUGUUUGUGGCACAUAUAUGGCUCUGUAAGACUGUGACUGUGAGACUGAGUUAAGGAUCAUAGAUUGCUUUAACUUUUUGGUUAUUUGGGUGCACCUAGGUUGGACUGUUGGAGCAAUGCAUCUGAGGCACCAAUCAGACCUACAUUUGACAAGCUGUGGGGUGGCCAUGAUAGAUGAAAGAAGGAGGAUUGGGCAAGUACUCAUGCAUCCAAUAUUUGAUUGGGAGCCCAGCCCAGGUCUCCGUUCCCUAUUCCUUUUUGCUGAUAC